rnacentral:rRNA from 1 species
GAAUUUUGCGCAAUGGGCGAAAGCCUGACGCAGCAACGCCGCGUGAGUGAUGAAGGAUUUCGGUUCGUAAAGCUCUGUCAAGUGGGAAGAAGUUGUGCAUGUUGAACAGGCAUGUGCAUUGACGGUACCACUGAAGGAAGCACCGGCUAACUCCGUGCCAGCAGCCGCGGUAAUACGGAGGGUGCAAGCGUUAUUCGGAUUUACUGGGCGUAAAGGGCGCGUAGGCGGCCGGAUAAGUCAGAUGUGAAAGCCCGGGGCUCAACCCCGGAAGUGCAUUUGAAACUGUCUGGCUUGAGUAUGGUAGAGGGAAGUGGAAUUCCAGGUGUAGCGGUGAAAUGCGUAGAUAUCUGGAGGAACACCGGUGGCGAAGGCGACUUCCUGGACCAAAACUGACGCUGAGGCGCGAAGGUGUGGGUAGCAAACAGGAUUAGAUACCCUGGUAGUCCACACAGUAAACGGUGAUCACUAGGUGUUGCGGGUAUUGACCCCUGCAGUGCCGCAGCUAACGCAUUAAGUGAUCCGCCUGGGGAGUACGGUCGC